rnacentral:lncRNA from 10 species
CGCCGCCGGGUCGCGACAAGGAGGAGGAGGAGGAGGUGGCCGGUGGAGACUGCAUAGGGAGCACGGUCUACAGCAAACACUGGCUCUUCGGCGUCCUCAGCGGACUCAUCCAGAUUGUUAGCCCUGAAAACACCAAAUCUAGCUCAGAUGAUGAGGAGCAGCUGACGGAGCUUGAUGAAGAAAUGGAGAAUGAAAUUUGCAGAGCAUUAACAAAGGAGACGGUGGCUCAGGGAGUAAAGGAAGGCCAGUUGAGCAAACAGAAGUGUUCCUCUGCAUUUCAAAACCUUCUUCCUUUCUAUAGCCCUGUGGUGGAAGAUUUUAUUAAAAUCCUACGUGAAGUUGAUAAGGCGCUUGCUGAUGACUUGGAAAAAAACUUCCCAAGUUUGAAGGUUCAGACUUAAAACCUGAAUUGGAAUUACUUCUGUACAAGAAAUAAACUUUAUUUUUCUCA